UAAAUGUCUGUUAUGCUCUUGCUGACCUUAUCUAAUACUAAACAGCCAGGAGAGGCUUCUCCUUUGCUGUGACCCCACACGAAGGUUAAAGAACAUAUCUUCGGAAACGUGUCUUGUGAAAACGAUAUGGAAGUGAAAGAGAUGAGCCAGCAACGGAGGGAAAGAACAGGUCAACGCCUCAACGUCUUAACCUCAGUUCAACGGGUUACCCGCAGUUCCACUUCCCUUUUGAUGAUGUGUAUGUGUGUGUUAAGGUUUCAAUAAAAGGCUGAAGCAAAGGGGUGCUCAGUGGGAAGUCUUGGACGUCGACACUGCUCUGAGCAGGUGUGACUGAGCUCCCCCUUUUGCAAAAGCCAUCAAAGAUACUGCUUGUCUGUGGUUCAUUCUCGCCUCCUUGACCGUGAUAUUUACAUGAUAUAGAAAAUACCUAUCACACCUAGCAACACGAUGUUUUUUUCUUUAUUUGUGUUAGAGCUAGAGAGACACACAAGCAGCACAGGGGAGGAUCUGCAGCAAAGGGCCCACCGGAAAUCAAACCUUGGCCGCCAUGAUGACGACAUGUGGCACUUGAGUGUGAAUCUAGCCUUUUCAUUUUUAUUUACAACAUUAGCAUUGAAAAGAGCAAAAGUUGAUAAAUAAAAUAAAUAUACACUUUUAUUAAUCCCCAAGGGGAAAUUAGUUCUCUGCAUUUAACCCAUCCUUAGUUAUUAAGGAGCAGUGGGCUGCGGUGAAGCGCCCGGGAAGCAACUGGGGGUUCAGUGCCUUGCUCAAGGACACUUCGACUUGCAGCUAAUGGGGAGAGCGGGGAUCGAACCCACGACCUUGCGGUUGAGGGUUGGCCCUCUUACCCCACUGAGCUAAAGCCACCCCCAAUGUUUAGAUGAUUUAGUUUUUACCGAAGAGGAUGUAUGUCCUCCCUUUGUCCUUUAUCCCCUUACUCUUUCUUUUUAGGUGUGAUUACGACUACCAGCAUGAACCUCAACACCUUCUUUGCUGUUCCACUAGUGUGACCCAUGAUCGGAUACAAGUUGUCAAGGAUAAACGGGAAGAAUCAUGUCAGCCCACAGACAACCGAUUGACCUGUGAGCCUUCAAGCAGUAAUGAUGACUACUCCUGCCUUAAGUUCCAGUUUCCUGAACAUCAUGUCGGCAUGAGAUUCUGUCCCCACCUGUCUUCAGUCUGGACCCAAUAAGUUUUUUUUUUUACAGUGCAUUUACAGUCACAUGGUUUAUUUCGAGGCUUUGUCUGAGUUUCAGUGCUGCAGUUAUUUACCAUUCAGGGUUGUUCAGAAACAUCCAAUUUGUCAUACUCAUUUGAAGGGCUUGCUGCAGUGAUUCUUUUGUGUACACCAGGAUUUCUUUGUAUUUUGGCAUUUCACACAAAUGUUUUUGAAAGAUGGUCAACAAAGUUGCACAAAUAAAUGUUUACAUGCUGUUA